rnacentral:rRNA from 1 species
UACAGAGGGUGCAAGCGUUAAUCGGAAUUACUGGGCGUAAAGCGUGCGUAGACGGUCAUGUAAGUCGGGUGUGAAAGCCCCGGGCUCAACCUGGGAAUUGCAUUCGAGACUGCAUGGCUAGGAUGCGGAAGAGGGAAGCGGAAUUCCUGGUGUAGAGGUGAAAUUCGUAGAUAUCAGGAGGAACACCGGUGGCGAAAGCGGCUUCCUGGCCCGACACUGACGCUCAUGGUACGAAAGCGUGGGGAGCAAACAGG